CAAAGGCUUGGUCCUGACUUUACUAUCAGCUUUAGCCUAAUUUACACAUGCAAGUCUCCGCACCCCUGUGAGGAUGCCCUUAAUCCCCUGCCCGGGGACGAGGAGCCGGCAUCAGGCACCCAUUCCUUCCGCCCAAGACGCCUUGCUACGCCACACCCCUAAGGGAGCUCAGCAGUGAUAAACAUUAAGCCCAUGAGUGAAAACUUGACUUAGUCAAGGCUAAAAGGGCCGGUAAAACUCGUGCCAGCCACCGCGGUUAUACGAGAGGCCCCAGUUGAUAGAUGCGGCGUAAAGAGUGGUUAUGGAGUAUACUAAACUAAAGCCGAAGACCCCCUAGGCUGUCAUACGCACCUGGGGGCACGAAGCCCCAUCACGAAAGUAGCUUUACUCAAGCCCACCCGACCCCACGACAGCUGAGAUACAAACUGGGAUUAGAUACCCCACUAUGCUCAGCCGUAAACUUAGAUGUCACCCCACAGCCGACAUCCGCCAGGGAACUACGAGCGCUAGCUUAAAACCCAAAGGACUUGGCGGUGCCUCAGACCCACCUAGAGGAGCCUGUUCUAGAACCGAUAACCCCCGUUAAACCUCACCACCCCUUGUUAAACCCGCCUAUAUACCGCCGUCGUCAGCUUACCCUGUGAAGGCCCCAUAGUAAGCAAAAUGGGCAAACCCCAGAACGUCAGGUCGAGGUGUAGCGUACGAGGUGGAAAGAAAUGGGCUACAUUUUCUGACCCAGAACACUACGAACGGUGCCAUGAAACGGGCACCCGAAGGUGGAUUUAGCAGUAAAAAGAAAAUAGAGAGUUCUUUUGAAUCCGGCUCUGAGGCGCGCACACACCGCCCGUCACUCUCCCCAAACCCAGACUUUUAAAAGUAAGUAACAAAAUUAACUAACCAAGGGGAGGCAAGUCGUAACAUGGUAAGUGUACCGGAAGGUGCACUUGGAAUAAC
rnacentral:ncRNA from 1 species